UCGCCGGGCCGUGACUGGCGCGCUGGGAUGGACAAAACCAUCGGGGAGCGGCCCGAGCAGACAGAGCCGUGCGCCUGGGCCGUACCG
rnacentral:ncRNA from 2 species